UUGCCCAUGAUGAUAUCAAUCAUCAAUUACCAUCUUUCGGGACUGAAUGGCUCUUUUGGGCCUUGCUGUUAAUAUGCAAUUCUGAGGCAU